AGCCAAAGAUGACUUGUUUGGUUCUAGAAGCAAAGUGUGGCACUCUUCAGGAUCUCCCUAACACGAUAUGCCGAAGAUCAAAUGUUUGCCGGCUUCUGGAAUGACAGGCCGAGAGCACCUUGCCCACACCUUCUCCGGGAAGCACAGCGGUGGAGCAGUUAGGAGAUGAGCUCUGCAAUCUGUACCCACCCAGGGUCAAAUCCCUGUGUGGGCCCUGGGGCUGGCUGCCUCACUUCUGCAAGCCUUGCUUUUGGAAGGACAUUAAUAAGGCCCGUCUCCUGGGUUUCUGGGAGGAUUAUGCAAGAAAAUGCUUGAAGAUGCUCUGUACCUGAUAAGUCCUCGACUCCUCCUGGGGAGAUCUACAGGGAGAGAAGUCUAUGGAAUACUGACACGAUCCUUUUAGGGUGUGUCUCCCUCAGUGACCAGUUCCUGGAGGACAAGAGCUGUGUCUCAUCCACGCGCCUCCCGAGUGCACGGCAUACAGCAGGUGUUCCCUACGUGUGUGCUGAAUUGAACAGGACCAGGGGAGGGAGAAGGCAAGCUGUGUCCUAUGGGUAAGGGUUUAACAUCCUCUAAAUUAUACCCUCUUAAAAACAGAUCUCCAUAUGGACAAUGAACAGAAGGGAAUAAAGUGAAAACACAAAAUUAUUUGUUGUGCCAGGAGGUUGGGAUUACACAUAACUUUCGAUUAUAUUGUUACAAUGUUUCUAGAGCAAAUAAAACUGAGGGAAGGAAGACACAGGGGAUCUUAACACCUUUGAAGAAACCAAAUAUUUCUGUAUAUCCCACAGAACCUGCCUCAGUGUCCAAUGUUUGUGAAUGUAACUUGCUUUGCCCUGGAUGGAAACAAAGGGUCUCAUACACAACACCACACUACGGCCACCACCAUUGUGACAUCACCCAGACCCACAGUAACACACUAGACCUGACCUACAAAGGAACAUCUGUGCCGGUCCCCUCAUAUUACUUCUCUUUCCCCAGCCUCCGAUGCCUUUUCCUGAUUUCUUUCGUACAUUUUUUAGAACCAUAUAAAAAAAAAAGUACUGCUCCCACAACCAUCACUCUCUGAUAUCAAUUUAAAAUCAUGGUGUGGUGGGGCUCCUGGGUGGCUCAGUUGGCUGAAUGGCCACUUCUUGAUUUCGGCUCAGGACGUGAUCCCAGGGUCAUGGGAUCGAGCCCUGAGUCCAGCUCCUCCAGGAGUGUGGCACCUGCUUGAGAUUCUCCCUCUCUCUCUCUCUCUCUCUCUCUCUCUCUCUGUCUCUUUCUCUCUCCCUCUGCUACCUUCCCUGCUCACGUGUGCUUUCUCUAAAAUAAAAAUUAAAAAAGAAAAAGAAAACAAGAUGUAUUUAAAAAUAAAUAAAAAAUAAACAAAACCAUGGUGUGGUUAAGAGCUCUCAGGCUCCAGAUACAAGGCUGGGUUUGAAUCCCUGCUCUCAAACUGGUUAUUUGACCUCUUCAUCCCUCAGUAUUGUCAUCUGUUCAGUGGAGAAAAGGGUCAGCCUGUGCCAGGAGCCGUGCUGGGUACUACCCACCAGGUAGUUGGCAGUACUGGUUGAGCCCACGGACAGAAAGGCCUCACCAACCUGCCUGGCAAAAAGUGAGCUUAUGGAAGUAGCAGUAACCUCCAUGGUAGUAGGAGGGUGACUUUCUUGGAGGAGAAUUUGACAACAUAUAUCAAAGCCUUCAAAAGCACAAAUGCAGGGCACCUGGCUGGCUCAGUCAGUGGGGCACGCGGCUCCUGAUCUCAGGGUCAUGAGUUCAAGUCCCAUGUUGGUUGUAGACACUACUUAAAUAAAUAAAUAUUUUUAAAAACUAAACUAAAAUAAAAUAUUAAAAUAAAACAAUCUCACUUCUAUUUUCCUUAAAAAUGUCUAUGCUUACUUAUUAUUUUUGAGAGAGAGGGACAGAGCACAGGUGGGGGAGGAGCAGAGAGAGGGAGACACAGAAUCCGAAGCAAGCUCCAGGCUCUGACCUGUCAGCAUAGAGCCUGAUGCGGGGCUCAACCCACAAACUGCGAGAUCAUGACCUGAGCUAAAGUUGGUUGCCCAACUGAGCCACCCAGGCACCCCUCUAUUUUCUUUUAAAUCAAGUAAUGUCUGGAAAAACAUUGGUACUUUCUUGUUCUUAAACUUGAGUGUCUAAAUUGCCUGGGGAGCAAGGUAGGUGCCCAGGCCUGGCAACAGACCUACUGAAUUGGAACCGCAGAGUAAAGGAAUAUCUGGAUUGUAAACAAGAUUCCCAGGCACCCCAGAGUUUUGGAACCACUGUAUACACCUAAGUGUCAACAGUGGUUAUCACUGACUUAAGAGAUAGCUGAUGGGUUUUUUUCUCUUCCUUGCAUUUUCUACAAUGAACAUAUUUGCUAAUUUUAAAAAGAUAGAGAAUGUGUGUGUGUGUGUGUGUGUGUGUGUCUGUCUGUCUGUCCUUUGUUUCAAAUGUAACCCUAAGUGACCUCAACCUAUAUGUGCAGAGUUCUACACUAAACUCAGCCCAUCUGGAAAGGGAGAUUACAGAAAUAAACCAGAAGAGAUGCUCCCCGGGAAAGUCUACAGAUGGGGGAGACAAAACACCUAGUCCUUGUGCCAAGGAGCAGAGACUCGUAACAACAAAGAAGCUGGGUGAGUCCGGAUGCAUUAAACUGAUGCCAGUCAAGCCACCUCCCCAGCCUGAGCCAGGAUACCCAUUAUUUUGUAGAUCCAAUGUGCUAGGAUGCAUACAGAGUUAUCCACAACAGCGAGAUGAGAAAUGACCCAAAUGUCCAACAAGGGAUAAGUUAUGGUACAACCAUACAAUGGAAUCCUACCCAACCAACAGAAGCAUUGGGUAGAAAUACAUCAAUAACGUAUUGGCAUACAAAAGAAUGUUACAAAACAACAUGAAAACGUUUAUGUCAAGUUUCGUAAAAGAAGGGGGAGAGAGAAAGGAGGCAAUUUGGAAGGAUAUUCUCCAAAAUGUUAACAGUGGUUGUUUCUUAGUGAUGAGAUUUCAGGUAAAUUUUCUUUUUUGGUAACUUGUUCCUAUUUGAUUUUUUUAAUGCUUUAAGUAAGUGCAAUUUUUUACAAUCGCGGAAAUGUAUUCUUUUUUUAUUAGAAAGACAGAGAAAGCACGAGUGGGGGAGGAGUCAGAGAGAGAGACAGAGAGAGAGAGAGAGAGAGAGAGAGAGAGAGAGAGAAUCCUAAGCAGACUUCACACUCAGCACAGAGCCCCAUGCAGGGCUCGAUCCCUCUACCCCAGGAUCAUGACAUGACUCAAAACUGAGUCAGACGCUCAACUGACUAAACCACCCAGACACCCCAAAAUGUAUUUUUUUAGUGUUUAUUUAUUUUUGAGAGAGAAAGACACAGCAUGAGUGGGGGAGGAGCAGAGAGAGAGGGAGCCACAGAAUCUGGAACAGGCUCCAGGCUCUGAGCUGUCAGCACAGAGCCCGACGUGGGGCUCGAACUCACAGACCGCAAGAUCAUGACCUGAGCUGAAGUCAGAUGCUUAACCGCUUAACCGACUGAGCCACCCAGAUGUCCCUACGAUGUAUUUUUUGAAGUAAUCUCUACACCCAAAAUGGGCUCAAACUCAUGACCCCAGAUCAAGAGUCACAUGCUGUGUGACUGAGCCAGCCAGGUGCCACCCAAAUACAAAAUUUAACUUAAGAACAAACUGGAAAAUACUUGUAACAAAUGCAGCAAGAAGCUUAUGUAAGUCAAUGAGAAAAACACAGACACCUGCAUAAUUUUAAGCCACUUCGAUCUGAAGAGAGAAGAUGAUCGAGGAUAGGAACACAGUUCACAAAGAAAAAAUUAUAAUGUCUAAUUAGGCCACGGAACAUCUUUACAAGCACUUGGAAUACUAGUAAUACUAGUAAUGCUCUUAUUUGCUGGAUCUGAGCACUGGCUUCAUGGGUGUGCUGUUUGUGAAAACUCAUUGAACUGAACAUUUGUAUGUUCACUUUCCUAUAUUUAUAUUAUACUUCAAGAAUUAAAACUUUUAAAACCAAGGGAUUGAUAAACACAAAGUUCAGGGCAGAGUUGGGUUGGGGGGAAUGAAGAAGAAGACAGAUGAGAAGCACAUAGCUAGACAGAAGUAUUGGAAUGUCCUCUGUCUUGGAUUAGGCGGUGGGUUCCCAAAUGUUCAUUAUAUAUUAAUCAAUACUUAUUUGUAAAAUAAAAGAAGAUUAUGGAAGGAACCAAACAGGCCAUACAUCCCUGGCUCUGCCACUCACCAGCUAUGUAAUCCUGGCUCUGAGUGUUUCUGGCUCAAUCUCCUCAUCUGUGAAAGGGAGGAAUAGGAGGCUUAACAUAUUGUAUACGUGGAAUUGCUUAACACUGACUCUGGCCGACUUGAUGCACUCAGUAAAUAUUCGUGUAGUCUCCAUUUCCCAUUUGUUGCACAAACAGUGUUAUACAGAAACGUAUACAAUUUUAAAAAGCACAAAGCCUUCCAAAAGCCUGUCCCCAUAACUGGCGCCCUUCUGAUGUGCUCUCCAGUAUGGGACGUACGUAGUGCUACUGAGUGCUUCUAGAGUGCUGUGUCCUGCUGUUGUCUAAGUGCAAACUUGCACUUCAGCGUCGUGGGUCCUCUCCCCUAGCCCCCUUCUGUACACACUCGACGGCUAAGUACAAGGUAGAGACGGGCAGCCUCGCGUUUGGAGGGGCUUUCCAAACAGGCUCUUCCUGUUAAGGGGAAGAGCGUGGAGGUGGGUCCCCACAGCCGCUCCGCGACCCUGCGCUCGCCCCGGGAACCUGCCUGCGUUUUUGGAAAACCCGCCCGAAGGCUGAGCCCGGGUGGAGAGGCCCUACUCCUAUUCGGCACUUAAAAAAACGACGGGAGAGGAGGGUGGGUAACAGCGGGGGGAAAACCGCAGCCAAGGUCUCGGCAGGUCAGCGUCUCAGACCCCAGGGCCGCCAACCCCGCUCCCUAGCAUCCCUCCCGCCUCCCGGGGCCAGGCCGCUGUCGCCUGGCCGAGCCGCAGCCCAAGACAGAUACCUUGGCGUCCAGGCCGCCCAAGAAAGGCCCGCCCUUCCAGCGCGCCCCUGAUUGGCUCUGCCGAGUCACGUGCUUCGGGCUCGGACCAGUUACGCGGUGGGAGUCAGGGGAGUGCUGCUGGCGUCACGUGGUUGGACGAGGAGAAAGUUGCCCCCUGCCUCCCAAUUGCCAAACACGCAGACGUGUUCAAACAAAAAAAAGGCCUUAUCUAUAAUCACCCUUGUUGGAUAAUACAUAACACAAUAUGGUAUAGAACAGUAGAAUGUGACCUAUAACCUCUGCUAAAUUUUGCUAUGACUUUUCUACCAAUUUUAUCUAUAGACUCAAAAUACACUAUAUACUCAUGUGUAUGCACAUAAUAUGCAUAUAUGUGUACAGUGUGUGUAUAUAUAUAUAUAUAUAUAUAUAUAUAUAUAUACAUUAUAUAUGCAAAUACAUCACACACCUACACAGACGUUUUUGAAUCUUGUUUUUGUCCUUAACAUCUCAGCAAAAGGAUUUUUCUGUCUCUAAAAACUUUUGUAAAAACCAUUUUCAUGGCUAUGCUAUUCCAUGAGGCGCUGUAUACUACCUUUCAUUUAUUCACUAUUAAUAGUCUUCAAUUUAUAGAUUUUCAUAAUUAUAAAUGUUAUGUUGAACAUAUUGUUACAUCAAUCUUUGUUGGCACUAUCAUCAGGGGUGAAAAUGGUACCUUGUUUGCUAGUAAUUUUAAACAUUUUCCAUAGGCUUAUUAGAUACUGCUACUCGUCUUCUUUGCAAAACUCUGUUCACAGCCUUUGCUGUCUUACCUAUUCUGAUUUUAGAUGCCUUAGAACUACCGGGGAGGGGCACCUAGAUGGCUCAGUCGGUUAAUCGCCAAACUCUUGAUUUCUGCUCAGGUCAUGAUCUCACCAUUUGUGAGAUCGAGCCCUGCGCUGGGCUCUUCACAGAGCGUGAAGCCAGCUGGCAUUCUCUCUCCCUCUGCCUCUCUUCCCCUCUCACUCUCUCUCUCCUGAAAUAAAUAAACUUAAAAAAAAAAACAAAAAACAAAAAACCUACUGGAGAUUCCUGUGUUUUUCCCUAUUGGCCUCUAUGAGCUUCUUGCGAAAGACAUAAUUGAUCUCUCUUCCCUGUGUGUUGUUCUUUUUAAAUUUUCUUUAUGACUCUUUCUGGUCACAACUGCUUUCACUAAUGGUAACCACUCUCCUGAUUUCAAACAGCAUAGAUUAAUUUUGCCUCUUGUAUUUUAUAUUAGCGGGAUCAUGAGCUCCCUUGCGUCUUGCUCAGUGUUUGUGAACUUCAUCCACACUGUUGCACGGAGUUGCAGAUUGUUCCUUCUCAUUGCUCUAUACUAUGCCCUUGUGUGGGGCUACUAUAAUGUAUCCCUUCUACUGUUGAUGGGCAUUUGGGUAGUUUUUAGUUGGGGCUGGAUUUCAGUUUGAGGCUAUUAUGAAUAGUGCUGCUAUUAAUAACUUUGCUUUUUUAGCUGUUCCUUUCCUUGUUUUAGUUGAAGCUCCUUGGAUUAUCUACUAAACACAAAGGGGAAAAGGUAACUUUUUUGUGGAGAAAUCUGGUAAACAACAUGAACCAAGCGACCAAAGUUAGCAUUACCAGCAGAGGAACAAACAUACUUAAUGUGACACAAUGGAAAGGACACAACAUCUCCCAUGUACUUUUCUUUCCAAAAAUGUUUAACAUGAAUGUAAUGAGUGAACAUCAGACAAAUAUAGACUGUGGACAUUCUACAAAACAACUGGCCUGAAGUCAUUAAAAAAAUGCAAUGCUUAUAAGACAAAAAGACCAAGCAACUAUUCUAGAAUAAAAGAGAUUGAGGAGACGUGACAACAAAUUGGAUCCUGGACUUUAAAAAAAACAGCUGUAAAGGGUAUUCUUGGGACAACUAGAGAAAUCCAAACAAGGACUGCAUGUAAGAAAAAAAAAAAAGGUUGUAUAUUUCUUGAAUGUGAUUAUGGUAUUAUAAAGGAUAACGUCUAUGUUUUGAGUUGAUGGUGAAGUAUUUAGGUGUGAAAUGUCAUGCCUACAACUGUCUCAAAGCUUCACCAGACACACACACACACACACACACACACACAGUGAGCUAAAGCAAAUGUGACUAAACGUUAACAGUUGGUGCUUCUAGGUAAAGAGUAUAUGGGUGUUCACUAUUUUCUCAGCUUUUCCAAUGGCUUGAGGAAGUAUAAUAUCAAAGUAGUACUCUGGGAUUUUUUACCCCACUCGACAUUCUGUCUCCAAGAUUCACCCAUGAUGAUGCAUGUCGCUGAGGUUCACUACUUUCACUGCUGCAUUAUAUUUCAUUGUGUGUCUAUACUCUGUAAUUUAUCCACAUUUCUUUCAAUGUACAUUUGUUUGUUUGGCUAUUAUAAAGAGUGCUUCCAGGCUCUUCUAAACCAGCAUUGCUCUUCUAGCCUCAGAUCCUUCAGAAAUGAGGUUAAGCAUCUUUGGGGUUAUACCAGAAAAUCCUUUCUUGGGGGCCAUGAUUGACUGCAAGGCUGUUUCCAGUUGAAUUCCUACUUGCCCAGGCUGGACUCACUCAGGGCUUCUCUCCUCUCAGACAGGUUCCCAACCCCAUGUCUGAGAUUGCAGAGAUGUCUAUGGCUCCCAUCUUUCUUCUUUUUUUAAAGUUUAUUUAUUUAUUUUGAGAGAGAGAGCGAGAGCGAGAGCGAGAGAGCGCACAUGGGGGAGGGGCAGAGAGAGAGGGAAAGAGAGAGAAUCCCCAGCAGGCUCAGAGCUGUCCGUGCAGAGCCUGAGGUGGGGCUCAAACUCACAAACUGCAAGACCAUGGCCUGAGCCAAAAUCAAGAGUCAGAGGCUUAACUAAUUGAGCCACCCCUGGGGGUCCUCCUGACACAUUGUCGGCACUCAGGAAAACAAAAUCAAAACAGUUAAGUGAAUAAACGAAAAAUGAAGGUCCAUGAUAAGGCAUGCAUCCCCACUUGUUACUAGCAUGUGCAUAGUAUUUUGUAAGAUUGCCUUGUGGUCAUGAGAACUUGCCUUCUUAGACACAUCUGCAUGCACUGACAUUAGUUGUGUAUUUGCCAUUUAGAGCUACAUAAAUUGUCCAUUGUGUUAAGACAUCUUAGGUGCUUAUCCAUUAUCUUACCAUCUGGCAUUUAAAUGGUUUCCAGUUUGUUUUGCUACUAUAAAUAGCACUACUAUGAGCAUUUUUUUUUCUUUGGGAUUAAUGCCUUAUAAAUUCCCCAAAGUGGAAUAAUGAGGUCAAAGGAUAUGGAGUCUUACAUAACUAGUUUCUUACAUAUUGUCUGAAAGACUGAAUCCUGAAAAACCGAACCAAUUUAUAGUGCCCUAGUCAUAUAGGUUGGCGUCUUCAUAGCUGUCAAGAUUAGGUGUUCUGUUUUUGCUAGUUUACUUACAUAGUUAAAGAAAGUUAAUUUCUUUAAUUGCUAGCGAUCUUUUCACUUUCCAUGUGACAACAGGCCCUAUAAAUUCCCUUAAGUGUGAUCAGCUAUAGAUUGAAAUUAAGACUGUAAUAAUUAUAAUCUACUUGUCCAAUAAUAUUUAAAAGUAAAGAUUCUUUCCCCCA